rnacentral:rRNA from 1 species
UUUUCAGCCCCCGCGGUAAUACGGGGGAUGCAAGCGUUAUCCGGAAUGAUUGGGCGUAAAGAGUCCGUAGGUAGUCAUCCAAGUCUGCUGUUAAAGAGCGAGGCUUAACCUCGUAAAGGCAGUGGAAACUGGAAGACUAGAGUGUAGUAGGGGCAGAGGGAAUUCCUGGUGUAGCGGUGAAAUGCGUAGAGAUCAGGAAGAACACCGGUGGCGAAGGCGCUCUGCUGGGCUAUAACUGACACUGAGGGACGAAAGCUAGGGGAGCGAAUGGGAUUAGAUACCCCAGUAGUCCUAGCGGUAAACGAUGGAAACUAGGUGUGGCCUGUAUCGACCCGGGCCGUGCCGAAGCAAACGCGUUAAGUUUCCCGCCUGGGGAGUACGCACGCAAGUGUGAAACUCAAAGGAAUUGGCGGG